rnacentral:rRNA from 1 species
CCUACGGGUGACAGCAGUGGGGAAUAUUGGGCAAUGGGCGCAAGCCUGACCCAGCAACGCCGCGUGAAGGAAGAAGGCCCUCGGGUUGUAAACUUCUUUUAUUCGGGACGAAGCAAAUGACGGUACCGAAGGAAUAAGCCACGGCUAACUACGUGCCAGCAGCCGCGGUAAUACGUAGGUGGCAAGCGUUAUCCGGAUUUACUGGGUGUAAAGGGCGUGUAGGCGGGAGAGCAAGUCAGACGUGAAAUUCACGGGCUCAACCUGGGAACUGCGUUUGAAACUGUAGUUCUUGAGUGAUGGAGAGGCAGGCGGAAUUCCGAGUGUAGCGGUGAAAUGCGUAGAUAGACGGAGGAACACCAGUGGCGAAGGCGGUCUGCUGGACAUUAACUGACGCUGAGGCGCGAAAGCGUGGGGAGCAAACAGGAUUAGAUACCCGGGUAGUC